UCUAGAUCAUAAAUAAAUUACCUGAGGACUAUGAACAAAACUUGAUUUUUGUGUCUAGUUUAAAACUCAAAAGGCUUGGCGGUGUUCUAAACUUUUCAGGGGAACCUGUCUCUUAAUCGAUAGCCCGCGAUAUACCUAACUUUUUUUAAAUAGUAUGUAUACCGUCGUCAGCAGGUGACUUUUAAGAAAACAAAAGUUAGCGAGAAAAAAACUUGUUUUCUAUGUCAGAUCAAGGUGCAGCUUAUAGAAAAGUGAGGAUGGGUUACAAUUAACGCAAUCUUAAUUACGGAAAUAUUGAUGAAAUUCAUUAUCAAAGGAGGACUUGAAAGUAAAAGUAAAAUUAUAUAGAUACCUUGAAUAUAGCUCUAGAACGUGCACACAUCGCCCGUCGCUCUCGUUGAAAAAUGAGAUAAGUCGUAACAUAGUAGUAGUAACGGAAGUUGCUGCUAGAUGA
rnacentral:rRNA from 1 species